AGAGAAUAGAGAACUCAGAACCUUCUAGCAGUUUGUGGUGAGAGGUUCCAAUCUAGAACCUUAGACACGUUCCAGUCUGGUCUCAUUUGGUUUAGGGGGGACAUUUCUAAGUGGGGAUUUCCAUGUUGAGUGUUUGUGAAGCUUUAGAGCACAGUAGCGACUUACCUGUAUGCCUGUCUGAGAGAGAGAACAUCAGGAAUGUUGUCAGUGAACCUGGAAGGGUUUCUUAGAGGGCUAGGCUGUUAUAGGCGACUCUUAAAGCAACAAGGGAUAAAAGUGUCUAAAAUGAGGACCAUAGUUGUGGCAGAGUCUUCAAAUGUUAGGUCUCCUCUUGAGAAUGCAAUUUAUGUUGGUCAUUGACUUCUUUUUUUUUCUUUUUUCUUUUUUUCAGAGCUGGGGACCGAACCCAGGGCCUUCCGCUUGCCAGGCAAGCGCUCUACCACUGAGCUAAAUCCCCAACCCCUGGUCAUUGACUUCUUAUCACAUAGGCAUGUGGGCAGCUGGUUGUAGAAUUCUCACCAUGAUCAUGGCCAUCUCCUUUUAUUGAAAGAAGUGAGCCUUUUGUCCCUAGGGCUCCCUUCUCUCCAUUCUCUUCUCCUUAUAUAAUGAUGGUGACCUUUUGGAGCCUCUGACAGACCAAGAAGACCUCCACAGGUUAUCUCAUUUACAAGGAUACAAGGUGGGCUCCUAGCUUAGGAGUUACUGGCAACUCCUAACUGCUGGGAGACUGAAAGUCCGUCUUCGUUAAGAGUACGAUUUCUGGUGGAUCGACCACACUCCAGUGGGAGGCAACCCAUCCAGACACAUACGGGCAGCACUAGUUGAACUCAGCGAGUUAAAGAGGAGAAAAGGGGAAUAGGAGGCACCAUCUCAGGUAGGUAGAGAAAGAGGGACGGAGCUGGGAGCUGUUAGACAGGUGAAUACAUUCAAAAGACAGUGAAUAAUAUUCUCAACUAAUACAAUUGCAGAAACGAGAAAGAAAAAUUUCUAGCUUUUUCUUCCGUCCAACUUCUCCUUAACUCUUACUGAGUGCCCAGGAAAUGCUAAGUACAGGGUUUCCCUGCAUUUGAGCCUUACUACUUAGAGUAAGCACUGUUUUAAGGUGUGGGAUUUACUCUCUUAUAUAUAAGGCUGUGCUUUCUUUGGCUUAAUGGUAGGGAGGCUCCAAGGCAAUGCAACAAUUAGCAAACGUGACAUCCAGAAGCUUCGGAAGUAAAUUCCGCAACCAGUUAGCACCCAUGGCUAUGUAACCUAAGUGGUUAAACUAAGCUACUCCUGGGGUGGGGAAAGGCAACAGAGGAUCCCUUGGAAGCCAGUCCUCCCUAGAUUUUAAUGCACAUUGAGCAGAUGAGUUGGUAUUUUCUUUCUUUCUUUUCUUUUCUUUUUUUUUUUUUUUUGGUUCUUUUUUUCGGAGCUGGGGACCGAACCCAGGGCCUUGCGCUUCCUAGGCAAGCGCUCUACCACUGAGCUAAAUCCCCAACCCCGAGUUGGUAUUUUCUUAAAGACUGUUGGUUCAGCUUAACGAAACAUUUGUGGAUUUCCUACUGCAUGCUACGAUGAACAGAAAUGGAGAAAGCAUAAUCUUUGUCCUUUGGUAGCUGACAAAUGGCCACGAUCUGUUUCUAUCAAAACUUGAUCCUGAGUUUCUCAAACUUGCACCUCAGGUUUGAGGAAGUGUUCUUUCGGCUUGUAGCUCACUCCUGAUCACAUCAUCAACUUGGAUCCUUAGUCUUCCUGGACCACAGGACCUAUUGGCCUAUGCAUGGUUCAUUGUACAUAGAUAGCAAUGACUAAAGCUUCUCUGUAUGAAGGGCUCUGCAAGUGCUCAGGUUAUACAGAUAUGGAUCAUAAGAUCCAGUGCAAAUGAGGAGAGUUGGUGGCUUUUGAAAGUCCCAGCAGGCAGCCACCAUUCUCAAUAUUUGCCAACCACUUCUCAAGUGCCCAUGGGCAAACAGAAUAUUGGUCGCAUUGUGCAUGUCUGUGAAGCGGUAUAUCACCCAGGCAGCUUUAAUACAUUGCAUUUUGAUGCAAUCAAGGGAAAAUAAACCAGAAAUAAAAAGAUUAUGGUAGAUGCAUAUAUUGCUCUAAAGUAUGCAAUUUGUUCUUACUCAUAACAGUGGCAGGAUCUCUCUAUAGGAAAUGAGUGUCCCAGGAUACAUUAGAUGCUAAAGUCACAGUUGAAGAAAGAAAGUUCCACUUGAAGUUCAGAAGCAGAGAAAUGGCCAGGGUAGACAUGUCUACUGGGUCGUGUUACCUCUUUCCAUGUUGGAUAAGCUAAAUGAUGUGCUCAUUUGUGAAUGGGGUUAAUUAAUGAGAAGCUAAAAAAAAAAUGCAGUAUUUUCACAGAGACUCGGAGAAACCAUGACCAAUCUAGGUGAGGCUUUGGUUCUAUCUUUGUGAGGAUUACUCCCAGGAGAUAGUCCAAGUCAUCAGCAUCGAAUUCUCACUUGGUCAGUGACUCAUCUAACAAGAACCUGGUAAAAAUUUCUCACCCCAUUGGACUGUACCCCUUUGUGGAAGAAAGACCAACGUUCAAUAGAAUCUUGGAGCACUAUCUAGGUCUGUAACUACGCCACCGAGUCUAAGGGGUUUCAUAUUUAGAACUUAAUCUUAGACAUCCUAAAAGCAAUCUGGUGUUAUUAAAGCAGAUUCUUGUCAGGUCAAGCUCAUUUAGUGACACGGUCACAUCCUAGGCUGAGAAGACUCCAGGGCUAAGACCCAUAUAGCCCUAUAGCUGCUACAAUUAAAUUGCUGGGGUCCCAGAGGACAAGAGCACUGAUGAUAUAUUUCCAUGAGGUAGGGUAAUGUAAAUGAAAAUGUUUUGCAAACUGUUUUGGGCCAUAUAUAUGCCAGGCAUUGGACAUCACUAUUACCUUCUCUGUUUGUUGAGGGACUCAUUUACAGGGAACUGACUUCAGCAGCCUCCAUAAUGUGUUAGGGGCAAGCUGGAAGAAGUUCCUUUUCCCCAUUCCUCUGUAGGAACAAUAUUUGCGAAGUCCCGGAUACAUGUAAAGUACCAGUGUGGUGGGAAUUGUAGCAGCUUAUAGGACAGUAAUGCCAUUCUCUGUGAGUGCAUGAUCUAGCAAAUGUGUAUAAAGCUGGGGCCAUCUAUGUCCAAGAAUGGCUAUUUGUGUAGAGAACCAUUACUGAAGUUCUUGUCCUAAGUUCUUUGAAGUUUUAAGUUAGACUUUUACCUCUUUGUACUUCAGAAGAGCAGAAAAUAAUCUCUACAAUAAGGCUUAGAGUGGCGUUUCUCAACCUGUGGGGCGUGACUCAUUUGGGGGUCAAAUGACCUUUUCACAGGGGUCGUUUUAGACCAUUGGAAAACACAGAUGUUUAUAUCAUGAUACGCAACAGUAGCAAAAUUACAGUUCUGAAGUAGAAACAAAAAUAAUUUUAUGGUGUGUGUGUGUGUGUGGGGUCAUCACCUCACGAGGGUGUAUUAAAGGGUCACAACAUUAGGAAGGUUGGAAACCACUGGCUUAGAGCCUCUCCAGGUAAACUGUCACCUCUGUUUAAGUCUUUGUUGCAAUUUGAGAAUGUGUUUAGGUACUUAAUUUUACCCAGUGAAACUAUACUGACCCAACCACCAAUGCAAAACAAUAAAUAAUGCAUAGAUAUUUGCUAAUUAUCACUGUGUGAUACUUAUAAAGGUAUCAUUUCUCUCAUUCCCCCCAACAAUAACAUAAUGACAAAAUGUAUCAUCUCGCAGAUGAGUAGGCUACAGUUUUAGAGAAGAUGGAAAUCAUAGAGGUAGCCAGGAAAUCACACACUAGUAACUGAGUGUAGGCAGUGUAGCAGCCACCACAGGAAAGGGAUGUCUUGACUAGGAAGCAAACUUAGUUAUCUACUGCAUGGAUGAUACCUUGAAACUGAAAGCCACCCUGUGUAGUAGUUGUCCAUGGUUUUGAUGUCAGUGAUACCUGACACUCUCUGUGGACAUUUGCAGUUGUCACACCUGUGGGAAUGCAGUGGGAUCCGGUGGAGAGAGCCUCGGGGUUACUGCUUAAGAGGCUCCAUUAAAAAGAAGUCCCUUCCCUAACAGAAUGACCUAGACUCGAAUCACCAUAGAAUCUGCACCUCUCUUCCUAUGCCAAGACAGUUCUGUUUUAGAUCAGGUCCCCCUUGUGGCUAGGGUAGUCACGAAGACACACACCCUAAGAGGUAGCCAUGUUUAAUCUUCUGUACAGUUGACUGGAUUCACAAGUCUCACUUUUUUGAUGUGUGUUUGAGGGUAUUUUCAGGCAAGUUUAACUGAGGAGGGAAGACCAGGGAUGUGAGUUGCAAUAUCUCACGGGGCGGACAAGUAAAAGAAAGCUCUCCUUCAUCCCUCUUUGCUUCCCACCCAGGGAUGCUAUGUGACCAGCACCACCUUACAACCCUUAAACCAAAAGACAUUUUUACGUCCUUCAGUUGUGUCUGAUAAUUUUAUUAUAACUAUGAAAACAGUGAAUGACACAGAGCCUAAGGCAAGCUUAGGAAACACCACUGAACCGUGGUGGUCCCACCGUUAUCAUUUAAGAUGCAUUUUAGAAAGCUUCUUUUAUUUUUUUCCCCUAGAAAGUAAGAGUUGUAUCCUCUUUGGGAUACUUUUAAUCACAUUUGGAACUUGUAGAGUUUGACUGGUUAGGUCAUCUCCUCACCGGAACCCUCUCUACUUCUUGCUAAUUUAGCCCCAUGUCCUCUAGCUUUCUGAACUAUAAAACACCACUGAAGUGGUUCUCACAUCUGAAGCACUUUCUAUCUAAUAGGCAUAUAGCUUUGUCUAGGGUUGGCUAAGAUAAAUAGCUGUAGCAAUUUCAAGGUACUUAAAGUCACAUUUCUUGAUAAUCUCUGAAUUUUCAGGGACCAUUAGAGAUCCCUCUGUGAAUCUUCGAAUAAUGAAAAGUACAUUUCGGCAAAGAUUUUUUUUUUUAGGUACUCUGCUCUUGCUGCAUUGAUUUAGAAACACAUUUCUAAAUCAAUUUUUUUCCCCGAGAUUUUAACUUGUAAUAAAAUGAGUCUUGGCUGAAGUGCCCUUUACAAUCUAAAUGCUUAGGCUUGAGAACCACAGGCCAAAUUGAGAAUUAAUUAACAUUUCGAAGCCAUGGUGCUGUAUUGCUUAAUCCUAAAUUGUACUUCAAAUGGGGAUUGAUUUCUCCACUAUGGCAAAAACAACUGCUCCCUCUACUCGUGCCCUUUCAAAUAUAACAUAUAUGGCCGGCGUGGAUUUGGAGAAUAAGAUAAAAUAACGUGAUCAUUAUAUGUUUUUAAUGAAGCCAUAAUCAUAUCCCAUUACAGAAUCUGUGUUUCCCAAGUCAUCUUUCCUACCUCAAGAAAACAUGUAUUACAAGAUGAGUAAGACGGAAAGCCACCCAAUAUGGAGUGCAUUAGGGUUACCCCCGCACCUGCCACAGUAUUAAAUGGAUACUGAACCAUACAUUUUCCUUUCAUCUGUCUAUGCCCUCAGCAAGACAGACAAAGUGUGCAAUUCAGGCUCGAAGGCUCGGAGAUCAGCAGAUGUACGUGGUUGCUCAAAAUCGAUGGAUACACCGGUUGUCCAAAAUUAGUGUAAUUCAAUUACUGUAGCCAUGAUUAGCUUCCCAGAGGGACAGCAUGGGGUGAGGCCAGGGUGAAGGAAGCUCAAACUUUCUUUUUUUUUCAUCAGUAGGGGUGGGGAGGGCUUAACAUGUAAAGAGAAUACGCUUCCUGAAGUUGGUUCUGCAUCUCACCAGCUCUAAGCAGGACCAGAGCCCAGAUAACCAUACUUGGGAACUAAAUUGUGAAAGGGAGGUCCAGGAAGGCUGUGACAAACACCCAGGCUUCAAAGUGCUGUCACCAGAAGCCAGCAUCGCUGUAAGGAGCAUACAGGAUGAUUUUUUUUAAACCCCCAAUAUUUCUUCCUUUCUAUAUACUUUUCACCAACCUGUAAUGCAAGUUUAAAGGAAAAAAAAUGGAAACCUCAAUUCCCCAAACUAAUAAAAAUUGUGUUUAGUACAUUCGGAUCUUAGUGGAAUAUUAUAGUUAUUAAGGUAAGGUAGCUUAUAAAAUACGUGAAAAUAUACUCCAAGUUUUUAAUUCAUCUUCUAAAUAUUUCUUAGGUAUCGGGUUCUGAAUUCGACCUUUUAGCAGUCAGACCCUCGAAUUAAAAACUAAAUAAACACUAAAAGUCAUUUUACGAUCAAUGAUUGCCCUGAAGAAGUGUAAAGCAGAUGGAGGGGUCAGUGUGAGGUGCCGGGGACAUUUCUUCGGAUACCUCUGUGGGGGACAUUAGUGUCCCGCGUGGCUCUGGAAGUGAAGACUCACCUUGUCCUGGUAAUGACAAGAACAUUCCCAGAGCCGAUAACAAGCCUGAGUGCUCGGCGUUCUGAAUGGGAACGGCAGAUAUGAAGGCAGGAAGUGGGCGGGCAGGGCAGGAAGCAGAAUAGCUGAGAAGGAAAAUGGAGGAGCGCGCUGCUGAAGCCGGAAGCCAAGAUAUCACAAUGCUUUCCCAUCCCACCUCUCAUGGGCCGAGUCGUGCUCCCAGCAUUGCUCCUUCUGGGUGUAAGAAAGAAUCCCUUCAUGAUGGACUUCAUGUUUAAUAACCAAUGAUGCCUGGCACCUUGCAUCCUAUCUGACCGAGUGUAGACCAGCUGCAUCCUAAAUAUGACCAAUAUAACCAGAAUGCUGUUAUCUGUGAGCUCUUUGCGGGUGUUUUGUUGACUAUCUGAGGAAGGAAUGUUCCAGAAUAACAGAAUAUGCGUACAGUGGUUAAAGGAAACUCCUGACUGGUCGAGCUCACUUAGGGUGCUGUUAACCCCUUUCAUCACUCAUUUAGGUAUUUUAUGUGGAUGAGUGUUUUGCGUGUGUGUGUGUGUGUGUGUGUGUGUGUGUGUGUGUGUGUGUACCACAUGUGUGUCCGGUGGUUAUAGAGGAGGGUACUGGAUCCCCUAGAACUGGUUUCAAGCUGUUGUGAUCUGCUACGUCAGCGCUGAGAAGCAAACCUGGGUCCUCUGCAGGGGCAGGAAGUGCUCUUAACUGAAUCAUCUUUUCUGCAUUCGUCCAAACGUGGGUUUUUUUUUGGGGGGGGGGAGAAGUUCAUACAUGUGUGCACUGUAUUUCGAUCCGAUCCACCCACUGUACCCUCUAUCCAUCUCCUCAGAGAGCCCUCAUUAUCAUGUCUCCCUCCAACCUCUUGUAUUUUCCCCACUCUCAGAUUUGCUGGGAACAUUCUCAGUCUUCAGAGGACUCUAAUUAUCUACUUUCCAGUUGAAAUUUUCCAGGCAAAAUGAUUGCACUCGAAGUCAUAAUAUAUUAGGCUCUUCUGGAGGAAAACAGUGUCUGUGUUCCCCACAGCAUGGCGGGGUGGUUGACUAAUAAACACUUAUAUGUUGUCUCAAAGAUGACAAGGGUCAACUAUUACAGUGUAUUAUUAUCAUCUCAUUCUCUUUUUCCUGAGCUGGAGUGAGCCUUGGGUUAUGGCUGGCUCGCCCAUUGACUUAUGCAUGUUCUCUUUACUGGAGGAGUCAAAUUCCAACCUAGCAUGAUCAAAAUGUUUAUAAGGCUCAUUGUGGGUCUGGACUCCCCUCAUGCGCAGUGCAGUUUAGAGCAAACACUAAGGCUUGGAUUUGAACCUCCUGGUAUCUGGCGCUGACCAGCUUCACUUCCGUCAUGGUUCGUGUACUCGGGACCUUGUUUCUGUAUUCUGUGGACAGCUUGGCCACUUAC